GGUCAUGGUGCCUGGAGUCUGUAUAUGCAGCGUUUCGGUAUAAAAUGCUGCACAUUUGGAGUUUAAAACCUGUGUUGCCAGAGGUGUAGUUACAACUCUGUCAGCAUCAUGGGGGCGUCAUUAGCCAACCUGGAAGAGUUCCAGCUUGGCUAAAGUCAGUUCUGUGCAGAUUUCCAUUCGCUCUCAGCCAUUGAAUGGCGACUGGAUCAGCUUCCCAUAUAAACAGCUCUGCAGAAGCUGGAAAUGCAUCACCAGCUCUAAAAGGAGCCUCUGAGCCUGGCGGGGACAUAUGUAAGAGGCAAAUUGUUGCUUAAUGGUUUGCCACAUUACCUGGGAACAGGGCCAAGGGUACUACUGGCAUCAUAACCACUACAGCAGGCUAUAGUAGUUUUGAUACUUAGAGUAGCCUCUUAAUUCUGAGUUUGUGUUUACAUGUGCUGAGUGUUAAUUUUAGAACUGUAAGUUCCAUUUAAAGAAACAUUGUAAUCCAAAUAACGACUUAAGGUUGUUUAAUUGCUGUGGGGGCAGGAAUGUCCGGGAUCCUUUUUACCUUUGUGGUGGCAAUUGAUUAACCACAAAGUAGGACUAUGGCGACCAGCACUUCUUUCCCCUGCUUUCGCUCCGUUCUGUAGUCUAGUUUGAGGAAUGGUUAGCAAGAUGGCCAGUGAUAACAUGAGAACAGAUGGUGACUCUCUAAACAUAUCACUGGACGCCCACUAACAAAUAGUAUCAUUUACCUCAAUGGACACCCAUUGGUAGGAUAUGAGCAUAAUUUGAUGCUUUUAUUCUUUCACUGGCUAUGUGGCUAACCCGUCCUCCUACUCCAAUGCAGAGCAGAACGGGAGGCAUACGUGCCUGUUGCCAGUCCCCAAAUUCAGGGUUAGACUGUAACCUUUGUAUAAGGCAUCCGGACGCUCUCACCCCAUAACAAUUUGAAUUAGUUAAGUUGUUAUGAGGGUGGGAGGUGUUCCUUCUUCUUAAUAACCAGUUUUAUAAAAAUGUUAUGCCGAUGUGUUUGCAAUAUUUAUGUUUUAAUGAACAAGCCAUAUUGUAAAAUUCUAAAUAUAAAUAAAAGUUGAAACUGUAUGUAAAAACAUAUUUUAAAAAUCUUAAUAAAAA